AUGAUUGCUUUCCUCAAAAGCUCAACCAGGCUUUGUGAACCUUUGAAAGGAUUGUUUGAGUUCAUGAAGUUGAAGCUGCAUUCAUCAAACUUUGAAAAACAAAGCAAAUCAGACCUCAGUCAAAUGCAUUGGUUAGGACUUGUGUGAGCAGAGAAGCAAGUCUGGAUGAUCGAGGUACUGCUGUAGUGGAUGAUUGCUUUCCUCAAAAGCUCAAUAUUGGUUUUGUUAACCUUUGAAAGGAUUGUUUGAGUUCAUGAGCUGCAUUCCUCAAACUUUGAAGU